CUUGCUUUUACCAUUUCUCAAUUCAAUGAUUUAAGCACAGCUCUUCCAAGUCAGUAUUUAGGUUUACUCAAUGCAACUGAUGUUGGUGCUUAUUUUGAUGAUGAUUUGGUAAAACAAGAUUUGAAAAUGUCAUACCAUGUAUAAUUGGAGAUUCUGAUUUCACUAUGGUUGCUAUUGUAUGUUGUGCUAAUUGGAGCAAUUACGAUGUGGAUCGAUUCACUUGCCAAGUGAUGCGGCUAGCGGAUCUAUUUCACCCAUGGAUAUAAGAAGAUCAUCCGGUGGAAGUAAUCCUAACGACAACCAUUGAAGUUGCUUGCAAAUGUAUUAGAUAAUUAAGUAUCGUACUCGAUUGAAUGGUCAUAGUAGAUCUUUUGUCCAUAAUGGUUGGAGUGAAUGUUCUGUUUAAAGUUAGUUUUAAGACUAAUUAUAAUAUUGAUGUUUUGUGUUUAAUGGUUGGAGUAGUUGUGUUUAAAGCAAAUUUUU